GAGACGCUCUGCUGAACUGCUAACUCACCCCCACCGGAUCUAAACACCCGGGCUUCUC
rnacentral:tRNA from 1 species